rnacentral:rRNA from 1 species
UACGAGGGAUGCAAGCGUUAUCCGGAAUUAUUGGGCGUAAAGCGCACGUAGGCGGAUCAGAAAGUCAGAGGUGAAAUCCCAGGGCUCAACCUUGGAACUGCCUUUGAAACUCCUGGUCUUGAGGUCGAGAGAGGUGAGUGGAAUUCCGAGUGUAGAGGUGAAAUUCGUAGAUAUUCGGAGGAACACCAGUGGCGAAGGCGACUCACUGGCUCGAUACUGACGCUGAGGUGCGAAAGCGUGGGGAGCAAACAGG